rnacentral:rRNA from 1 species
GACGAACGCUGGCGGCGUGCUUAACACAUGCAAGUCGAACGAAGAGCGAUGGAAGCUUGCUUCUAUCAAUCUUAGUGGCGAACGGGUGAGUAACGCGUAAUCAACCUGCCCUUCAGAGGGGGACAACAGUUGGAAACGACUGCUAAUACCGCAUACGAUCUAAUCUCGGCAUCGAGGAUAGAUGAAAGGUGGCCUCCACAUGUAAGCUAUCACUGAAGGAGGGGAUUGCGUCUGAUUAGCUAGUUGGAGGGGUAACGGCCCACCAAGGCGAUGAUCAGUAGCCGGUCUGAGAGGAUGAACGGCCACAUUGGGACUGAGACACGGCCCAGACUCCUACGGGAGGCAGCAGUGGGGAAGCUUCCGCAAUGGACGAAAGUCUGACGGAGCAACGCCGCGUGAGUGAUGACGGCCUUCGGGUUGUAAAGCUCUGUUAAUCGGGACGAAAGGCCUUCUUGCGAAUAGUGAGAAGGAUUGACGGUACCGGAAUAAAAAGCCACGGCUAACUACGUG